UACGGAGGGUGCAAGCGUUAUCCGGAUUCACUGGGUUUAAAGGGUGCGUAGGUGGGCUGGUAAGUCAGUGGUGAAAUCUCCAGGCUUAACUUGGAAACUGCCAUUGAUACUACUGGUCUUGAAUCUUCUGGAGGUUAGCGGAAUAUGUCAUGUAGCGGUGAAAUGCUUAGAUAUGACAUAGAACACCGAUAGCGAAGGCAGCUUACUGGGCUGUAACUGACGCUGAGACGCGAAAGCGUGGGGAGCGAACAGG
rnacentral:rRNA from 1 species